UGGCUCAGUCGGUAGAGCAUGGCACUUGAAACGCCAAUAGUCGUGGGUUUGAUUCCCGC
rnacentral:tRNA from 1 species